AAGUGCUAUUUCUCUCAAAAAUUGUAAACAGAUCUGUCUAAAUUUGUGCUCACUAAAACAGAUUUAGACAGAUUUGUGUACAAUAUUUGAGAGAAAUAGGCCUU